rnacentral:rRNA from 1 species
CCUACGGGAGGCAGCAGUGAGGAAUAUUGGUCAAUGGCCGAGAGGCUGAACCAGCCAAGUCGCGUGAGGGAAGAAGGCCCUACGGGUUGUAAACUUCUUUUAAGAGGGAAGAGAAGCAGACGGUACCUCUUGAAUAAGCCACGGCUAACUACGUGCCAGCAGCCGCGGUAAUACGUAGGUGGCAAGCGUUGUCCGGAUUUACUGGGUGUAAAGGGCGUGCAGCCGGGAAGACAAGUCAGAUGUUAAAUCCCGCGGCUCAACCGCGGAACUGCAUUUGAAACUGUUUGUCUUGAGUACCGGAGAGGUCAUCGGAAUUCCUGGUGUAGCGGUGAAAUGCGUAGAUAUAAGGAAGAACACCAGUGGCGAAGGCGGAUGACUGGACGGCAACUGACGGUGAGGCGCGAAAGCGUGGGGAGCAAACAGGAUUAGAUACCCGAGUAGUC